rnacentral:lncRNA from 1 species
GUUAAAAGUGUAUUAUUUUGCGUACAAAUGUAUGUACGUACACAGAGCAAAAAUGUUCUAAAUUUGCACCAAGGGCAAUGUGUGUGUGUGAAAAUGUGCCAAAAAAGGCGCGAAGUUGUCCCCUCCCUUCACCCAGCAAUCAUAUAAAAGCGAAAGAAAAAAGAAGAGGCGCAAAAAGCAAAGAGCGGGUGUCUGCGCUCUCAUUUCAAGUGUAUCCUAAUAGGGUGAGGCAACCCAAUUCGUGCUAGUCUGACUCUCUCUCCCGU